UUAAGUUUUGUAAAGGGAAUUUCCAUCAAAAUCAUAUUCUUAGUGUGAAAGGUAUUCAAUAUUCAAACAUAUUCAUUUUAUAUGUCAGUGAUUGCAAAAUUUAAUUUUAUUAACUAAUUCUCAUUUUACCAUUUUCAUUAUAUUUCAUACAUGCCAUAAUUUUUCAGACCAAUUCCGGGACAUUGAGUUAAAUUGUCCGGGACUUUUGUGGAUUUUCCGGGACAUGUAUAAAAUGUAGCGAUAUUUAUUGACAUAGCAUUUGUGGUACGAUUUUUUUUGUUUCACAUCGUUAAUUGCAAAAGUUCGAAAGCCUAUAUCCAAAAUACACUUGAUCUAUUAUCGUCAAAUUAAGCAUUACUACUUCCGUUACUAGAUACAAGCCACGUGUUUUCAGUGUAAGCGUUCUAAACAUAGAUGGUGACGUCACUGCAGUAUCGUUAUUAAGACCGGUUUGUAACGCGUAGUUGUUGAUACGCCUUUAUUCAUUCAUUCACUGGGGGUUUAGAACAAGACAAUAAUAAACCUAGUGAGGAUGAUGAUUUUAUAUGCUUACUUUUUUACUCAACUUCUUUGUCUGUUAAACGAGCGAACAUAAACUGCUUUUAAUUUUUUACUCAGCGAUGUUGGACUUCAGAUGUGUGAACAACUAUCAUUUGCCCUAACGCAGCGGGAAAUAAUGACGUAGUAGAUUAAAGUCAAUUAACAACUACAUUAAACAAUUCCGCCUUUUUGGUUUGACCGCGAACAUGAGACAAUCGAUAUGAUAACAGGACCCCUGUUAAUUGAUCGAUUUUGACACGUAGCGUAGUCUGCCUAUUCGGGUAGGCAUUGUCAUGGAGACGCUGCAGAUAUACACAGAUUCGAGGUGCAGUUAAGCCUAAGAUAAGGUACAUGUAUAUAUGGAUUUUGUAAAUUCCCGGACAUUUGACAGAUUUCCGGGACAGCGGGACAAGUUCUUCAUUUCCGGGACUGUCCCGGACAAUCCGGGACAUAUGGCAUGUAUGAUAUUUUCUAUGCUUUCAGAACGUCAAAAAAGGGACUUGCUGUUGAAAAUUUGUCAAAGUUAUCUCCUUAAUGUAACAGGUCUAUAAAAUUAGUGUUUUGUAACCAAUUUCUUGUAUGUAAGGUUGUGUAUCGGUUGUGACUAGUUAGACACGCAGAAGUUCCGGUUUAUAAUACUUGGUUUUACGUUUUGAGAUUGACGGUUCAAAUAUCAAUUGGAAUCUUGCAUGUUUUAUGACAUCUUUGUGCCAGCAGUCACAGUGCUAACCUCCCCCAAGGCUGAGAGAGACCAGGUCGAGAGUAGCUUAUACUCCGUAAGUAAGAUGUGCAGUUUGUCAAAGUAACGAUGUAUAAACACUAUUGUUAUUGUCACUGUGUUGUUUUCAGGAUACCUAUGUUUUAAGAUAAUUAAUGUUAUCUUAAUAUGCCAUUUGUAUGUUAAUAUGUUGAUUGGAACCACCACACAGCAUACCAUUAUGUUUUAAAGAUGAAUAUGAGUUUGAUGUGUAUGUAUAAUUAUUGAGUAUGGUUACCACGGUAACCAUCUAUAAUUUGUAACCUUAUUAUUAAAUAUGCGUAUUGAUAAUUUGUAUAUUUUCAGGACGGUCAGUUACAGAUCAGUUUCAACGCUCGUAUAUUUAUUAUAAAUCCACUCAAUAAACUUGUAACUGUCA